AUUGAACGCUGGCGGCAUGCUUUACACAUGCCAGUCGAACGGCAGCGCGGGCUUCGGCCUGGCGGCGAGUGGCGAACGGGUGAGUAAUGCAUCGGAACGUGCCCAGUAGUGGGGGAUAGCCCGGCGAAAGCCGGAUUAAUACCGCAUACGACCUGAGGGUGAAAGCGGGGGACCGAAAGGCCUCGCGCUAUUGGAGCGGCCGAUGUCGGAUUAGCUAGUUGAUGGGGUAAAGGCUUACCAAGGCGACGAUCCGUAGCUGGUCUGAGAGGACGACCAGCCACACUGGGACUGAGACACGGCCCAGACUCCUACGGGAGGCAGCAGUGGGGAAUUUUGGACAAUGGGGGCAACCCUGAUCCAGCCAUGCCGCGUGCGGGAAGAAGGCCUUCGGGUUGUAAACCGCUUUUGUUCGGGAAGAAAUCCUCUGGGCUAAUACCCCGGGGGGAUGACGGUACCGGAAGAAUAAGCACCGGCUAACUACGUG
rnacentral:rRNA from 1 species